rnacentral:rRNA from 1 species
GUCUACAGCCACACCACCAUGAUCUCGUCUGAUCUCAGAAGCUAAGCAGGGUUGGGCCUGGUUAGUAUUUGGAUGGGAGACUACCUAGGAAGACCAGAUGCUGUAGGCG